rnacentral:tRNA from 1 species
GCCCUGAUAGCGGAAUUGGUAUACGCAACGGUUUUAGGAGCCGUUUACUUGUGGGUUCGAAUCCCACUCAGGGCA